AACGAACGCUGGCGGCAUGCCUAACACAUGCAAGUCGAACGGGAUCCAGGCUUCGGCCUGGUGAGAGUGGCGGACGGGUGAGUAACACGUGGGAACCUGCCUUUUGGUUCGGGAUAACCGCGGGAAACUGCGGCUAAUACCGGAUGCUCCCGAGAGGGGAAAGAUUUAUCGCCAGAAGAGGGGCCCGCGUCCGAUUAGGUAGUUGGUGAGGUAAUGGCUCACCAAGCCGACGAUCGGUAGCUGGUCUGAGAGGAUGAUCAGCCACACUGGGACUGAGAUACGGCCCAGACUCCUACGGGAGGCAGCAGUGGGAAUAUUGGACAAUGGGGGCAACCCUGAUCCAGCAAUGCCGCGUGAGUGAUGAAGGCCUUAGGGUUGUAAAGCUCUUUUGCCAGGGAAGAUGAUGACUGUACCUGGAGAAUAAGCCCGGCUAACUUCGUGCCAGCAGCCGCGGUAAU
rnacentral:rRNA from 1 species